GACGAACGCUGGCGGCGUGCUUAACACAUGCAAGUCGAACGGAAAGGCCCUGCUUUUGUGGGGUGCUCGAGUGGCGAACGGGUGAGUAACACGUGAGUAACCUGCCCUUGACUUUGGGAUAACUUCAGGAAACUGGGGCUAAUACCGGAUAGGAGCUCCUGCUGCAUUGUGGGGGUUGGAAAGUUUCGGCGGUUGGGGAUGGACUCGCGGCUUAUCAGCUUGUUGGUGGGGUAGUGGCUUACCAAGGCUUUGACGGGUAGCCGGCCUGAGAGGGUGACCGGCCACAUUGGGACUGAGAUACGGACCAGACUCCUACGGGAGGCAGCAGUGGGGAAUAUUGCACAAUGGGCGGAAGCCUGAUGCAGCAACGCCGCGUGCGGGAUGACGGCCUUCGGGUUGUAAACCGCUUUCGCCUGUGACGAAGCGUGAGUGACGGUAAUGAGUAAAGAAGCACCGGCUAACUACGUG
rnacentral:rRNA from 1 species